rnacentral:rRNA from 1 species
GGAGAGUGCAAGCGUUGUUCGGAAUUACUGGGCUUAAAGCGCGUGUAGGCGGGAUGCAAGGUGUCGUGUGAAAGCCCCGGGCUCAACCUGGGAACUGCAUGGCAAACCGGCGUUCUUGAGGUGGGCAGAGGUGACUGGAACGACUGGUGGAGCGGUGAAAUGCGUAGAUAUCAGUUGGAACGCCGGCGGCGAAAGCGAGUCACUGGGCCCGUCCUGACGCUGAGACGCGAAAGCGUGGGGAGCGAACAGGAUUAGAUACCCUGGUAGUCCACGCCGUAAACGAUGCGCACUAGGUAUGAGAGGUUCUGACGCCGAUCGUGCCGAAGCAAAAGUGUUAAGUGCGCCGCCUGGGGAGUACGGCCGCAAGGCUAAAACUCAAAGGAAUUGACGGGGGCUCACACAAGCGGUGGAGCAUGUGGAUUAAUUCGAAGCAACGCGAAAAACCUUACCUGGGUUUGACAUGCACGGAUGCUCUCUUGGAAACAGGAGUAGGCUGCCUUCGGGUGGAACGUGCACAGGUGCUGCAUGGCUGUCGUCAGCUCGUGCUGUGAAGUGUCGGGUUAAGUCCCUUAACGAGCGAAACCCCUAUCGCUAGUUGCCAGCG